AUUAUUAAUAAUAAUAAUAAUACUGCAGGCGCUCUUGAGUGAACGUCGAUGUAAGCAAUGACAUUUGGACGCUUUACGAUGACGUAAUGAUCUCCUACUUGGCUCUUUGCCGGUGGAAAAUCAAAGACGUUCUUUGUAAGAACUUGUUAAGCACCAACGAAGCACAGCACCUGGCGCCGAACUAGCAUCAAGAACCAGAAACAAACAACAACUGAAAGCGGCUGUAGUAAAGCAUUUUAACUGAAGAAUGCAGCAGUCUGGUCAAGUCAGUGGGUCGCGGGAUUGAUGCAGUUGUUCGACUUUUUCGAAGGGCACCGCAUGGCGACACCUCCAACGAGGCAUUUCAGCGGUUUUAUCCUCAGCCGUCGAGUGAGUGGUCACCUAAGUGCUGUGCAUGAAACGGAUGAGCGCCCAUCUUCCCGAC